rnacentral:rRNA from 1 species
GGAUAAACGCUGGCGGCGCGCAUAACACAUGCAAGUCGAGCGAGAGGAGUAGCUCGGUUACGAAUCUAGCGGCGGACGGGUGAGUAACACGUAGACAACCUGCCUUGUAGAGGGGGAUAGCCGGAAGAAGUUCCGGAUAAUACCGCAUAAUACAUAUUAAUCGCAUGAUUGAUAUGGGAAAGGUGAAUAACCGCUAUAAGAGGGGUCUGCGACUGAUUAGCUAGUUGGAGUGGUAACGGCACACCAGGGCCACGAUCAGUAGCCGGUUUGAGAGAAUGAACGGCCACAUUGGGACUGAGAUACGGCCCAGACUCCUACGGGAGGCAGCAGUGGGGAAUAUUGCGCAAUGGGGGAAACCCUGACGCCAGCGACGCCGUGUAAAGGAUGAAGGUCUUCGGAUCGUAAACUUAUAUCGAUUGUGAAAAGUAAGGAUGGUAGCAAAGUAAGAAGCCCCGGCUAACUACGUGCCAGCAGCAGC